CAAAUAGAAAAAAAGAAUAGUGUAGUAGUCAAAUUCUUCGUUUGUUGUCAAAUUAUGUCUUCAUAUUAAAUUUAUAAAUUUUUUAACAUAAUGAUAUAAAAAUGUAGCAGUUUCUCCCGUAUUUUCCCUUGCGGCCUAGAUCCGAUGUUAUCAUUCACCGUCGAACAAUGGUCAAAAAUACUACAGAAUGCGUUUUCGACGAGGUGCGCAAUCUUCCAAUUCAACAUCAAAGAAACAAGGGAAACAACAUAAAAUCGCAAGACGCUUAAUUCAAAAAACUUCGAAGGGGAAUCAAGAAAUUAAAAAAAGAAAUAAAUCUGAUAAAGAAAAGUCAAAAAAUAGGAAUCAUUAUAAUAGCCAUCAACGAAAAAAUACUCGUUUAAGAGAUUCAAAAAUAAAGAAAAAUUUAGAAAAAGGCGAUGAGAAGUCCAGUAUAAAAUCAAAGAACGAAGAUGGUACAAAGAAAAACUUUUUCAAGCAAACACUAAAGCGACAAGUGUGGAGAAUGUCAAAAAGUGUUAUAAAGAAAAACAGACAUUGGAAUGAAUUUUUGAAAGAAAAUAUGAUAAACAUAGAUAAAAUAAAUAUAGACUCAGUGGAUCUCAGCUUUAUAAACUUAGACGCACUCGGUAUUGAAAACAAGAUGUUAAAAAAAACGGUGGUAUGGUUGCUUAAGUGACAUUUCUUUUGAAAAGACACCUGUCCAUAUCAUUUUUUGCAAACUGUUUACAUUUAAUAGUUAAAAUGUAUUGUUUAAGUUAGGAAAUUACUUAUCAUAUAUAAAGGUAAAACCGCAAAGUAGAUACAAAGAGAUCGCAAUCUAAAGUAAAUAAGAAGUAAUCAUUUAAAUCAGAAUGAAAUAGUUGGAAACAGCGAAACUAAUCAAUAAAUAUGAAGCCGGGCAGUGCUAUAUCGGACAAACCAUCCGGUUCGUCAACUAAAAAGAAAACAACAGAAGAAAAAAAUAAAAAUAAGAAAAAACCUACUUCAGAAAAUACUUCACUUAAAACUUUAGGACUUGAUGGUUUAAGUGCGUCUGAACUUAUGUCAAAAUAUGCCAUAUCUGGACCUAAAGCCAAAAUUUUAAAUGAAUUGCUUAAUGAAUAUAAGAAAGGAUCAAAUAUUGAUCUACCAAACCUUUCCAAAUACAAAGAAUUAGAUAAGGAUAAAAUAAACAAGAUUAUAAAUCAAUACGACAAGUCAAGAAAGAAACUUAAAGCAAAUAUAGACCAAAUUAAACAUAUGGAUAAAGAUGAAUUAAAAGAUAAGUUAAAAAUAAGUGGGCCAAAAGGGAAAGUUUUUAAUCAAAUGAUUGAUGACUAUCGAACGGGAAAAAUAUCGCUUACUUCAUUAACUAAAACCAAAACCGUACCUAAGAGGCUUAACAAAGAACAAAUUAACCAAAUGCUUGUAUUUUACGAGGAAACAAAAAAAAACAAAAAGAGUUAUUCUCCAUUCAGAAAAGCGAAAGAUAAAAAUAGUAAAAUUACGACUCCUACCUCACUGACUACACCUACUACACCAAGUCAAAAUUCAGUCUCAUCUAACAAAAACAUUUUCAAAAAAACCUUAAGGCGAUCUGUAUGGCAAGUGUCUAAACAAGUUAUGAAGAGGAACCCACAUUGGACUGCUUUGUUAGCUGAAAACCAAAUAAAUUUAGAUAAAAUAAAAAUAGACAACAUGGAUCUCAGUCUUAUAAACCUUGAUGCUCUUGGUAUUGAAAACGGACCAUUGCGACGGAGUUUGAAAUGGUUAUUUAAGUGAUAAGGAUAUUCUCAUCUACCACUUUCGCAUCUCUUAUUACUACUAUUCUAUACUUAGACCGCUCCAUGCUUAGACCAUAGGAUAAGUUGGUCAAUCCGAUCAUUCAAUGAAUAUGUUUGUUUUGCUUAGUAAAUUCUUUACAUUUAUUUUAUUUUCAAAAAAUAUGCAUUUUAAUGUGAACAUAAGUUUUGGGGAGAAAAUAAUUAAGGAUCCUUUAUUGCAUUUAAAAAGUAAUGUCAAAUACUUUUAUACAAAUAUAAAAAAAAAAUGUUUGCAUGGGAUGACUUGACCGAUUCAAAACACUCAUCAGAGCAACUAAUCCUAUGGUCUAGAUUGAGUGGGAUAAGUACAUUAAAUAGCAUACCUAUACAAUUAUAUUUUAAAAAGUAAACAUAAUGCAAACUUAUAUUUGUUUAUUUUGUAAAUAAUGCUACUAACUUUAGAUUAUCCUGUAAAUAACCUGAAGCAAGAAAAACUCCUCACGGUUUUGUAAUUUUUUGGUUUUGUAAAUUGUAGGAACUAUAUCCAAUAGAAAACUGUUAUUGUUUCGAAUAAAAUUGUUUAUCUAAUAAUUUUUAUAGUUAGCGAAAAUUAAACAUUUUCACUAUUAAAUAAAAUAGAUUGAUAAAAUUGAUGGUGGCACUCACUAGAUGUAGAACAAACAAGUGUAUGUGUCAAAAAGUAACCUGGAUGGCUUCUUAGCCGCCUUGAAGCUCAGUCCGCUAUUGAUAGCGGUCCGCGUAAACGUCAGGUUUUAAAUACAAAAUGAAGCGUAACUGUUCAAACACCAGCCAUAAUUAGUAUUUCCUUCCAUCGGUAAGGAUCCCUUUUGUCUUAAAAUAUGUUAUUUAAUUUAAAGUCAACCAUUUUGUUGCUCUAAAUUAUUUUCAUCAAAAUGACAGCGGGCGAUUUAUGAGACCAUCGACAGUUCUUCAUUGCGGAUUUAAUUCGAUGAGCCAGAUUCGCCACGUAUACAAACCAUCGAUGUAUAAUUGGCUAUUCAAGCUGUUAGUCAUAUUCGAGGUAGAAUUACCUAUUUUUUUCUGUCAAGUUUGCGCCCUUAAGAGCCAUAUCGCCAAAUCCAAGAGAGUGUUGUGUGGAAAUGGUUUUAGUAGUAUUCGGGAGAUGAGCGGAACAACAGCAAAAUUCAGAAUGCAAUCCAACGCGUGGACCUGCAUAACACCAUGGGCUUCAGAAGGUAGUCUACGUCACAGAGGAAGGCUAAGGAAGAGUUUUUCAGAUACGUAAAAGUUAAUUGGAUUCCGCGGUGAAUUUCGAUAAGAGCAAUGUGGCCAGGCGAUGUCAAAUCAAUAAUGAUGUACAUUGUGAUGACUUCGGCGGUGAAUGCAUGUGGAUCGCGAUCAGGAAGCGAUUGCAAUGAUGUCAACGUAAAAACCAAAGGCAACAAUAAUAAUGGAGAUCAAAGUGGCAAUAAUGGCAAUAAAGUUGACCUUCCACCGGAAUCUGCAGCACCGCCACCAGCUCAUCGUAAACGAUGUUGUCCCUAUGACUUUGAUAGUCGCAUAUGUAAAGUUGUAAAUGACAGAUAUCUUUGUGGAUUUAAUAAAAAUGUAGGCAGACCUGAAAGUAAUGACAGGGCUGUAGAAUUAUCUGAUGGUUGUCGGUUACGAAACGGUAGAUUAGAGUGCGGAUAUGUGGAAGGACCUUUCAAUAAUCCGCGAAGACCGCCAGUUUUUUACAAUUAUGAUUAUAUCACGGAUGGCAAUGUACACAAAAUUAAUGAAAAUGAUGAUGAUUACUUAAACAACGACAACGACAUUCAAAGAUUGAAAGUAAAAGAAGAUGGUAAUAAAGUCAUCAAUAGGCCAAAACAAAGAUGUGUUGAAAUUAAUGACCGUAUUAUUUGCCGUGACGCUUAAAUCGAUUACAUCGGAAAUUAUAAGGAGUCUAGUAUCUUUGGAAGUGAAAAUUAAAAGUUUAAUAUAUUUUC